rfam:Jeotgalibacillus soli Cunha et al. 2012 strain P9 contig00020, whole genome shotgun sequence.
AGGUGAAAGAAGAGGCACCCGCUUCUCACCUGAUUGGCGCAACUGUAGCUGACAGGUAACACGUGAUCCAGAUAUACAUCUAUGUAUGUUGACACAAGAGUGCGGGAGACUUUCAGUUUCCGGCACUCUUUUCUUUUA